rnacentral:tRNA from 1 species
UCCUUCGUGGCUCAGACGGUAAAGCGUCUGCCUAUAACACAGGAGACCCAGGUUCAACCCCUGGGUUGGGAA